rnacentral:rRNA from 1 species
AUUGAACGCUGGCGGCAGGCCUAACACAUGCAAGUCGAACGAGUGGUGGACGGGUGAGUAAUGUCUGGGAAACUGCCUGAUGGAGGGGGAUAACUACUGGAAACGGUAGCUAAUACCGCAUACCAUCGGAUGUGCCCAGAUGGGAUUAGCUGGUUGGUGGGGUAACGGCUAACCUAGGCGACGAUCCCUAGCUGGUCUGAGAGGAUGACCAGCUACGCUGGAACUGAGACAGGGUCCAGACUCCUACGGGAGGCAGUAGUGGGGAAUAUUGCACAAGGGGCGCAAGCCUGAUGCAGCCAUGCCGCAUGUAUGAAGAAGGCCUUCGGGUUGUAAAGUACUUUCAGCGAGGAGGCGUUACUCGCAGAAGAAGCACCGGCUAACUCCGUGCCAGCAGCCGCGGUAAUAC